CCCUUAGAUGUCCUGGGCAGCACGCGUGCUACAAUGAUGCAUUCAACGAGUCUUGCCUUAACCGAAAGGUUCGGGUAAACUUUUGAAAUUGCAUCUUGUCGGGGCUUGAUCAUUGUAAUUUUUGAUCACAAACAAGGAAUUCCUUGUAAAUGUGAGUCAUCAACUUGCAUUGAAUACGUCCCUGCCCUUUGUACACACCGCCCGUCGCACCUACCGAUUGGAUGGUCCGGUGAAGCCUCGGGAUUGUGGUUCUUGCCGCUUUAUUGUGGCGUGACCGCGAGAACUUGUCUAAACCUUAUCAUCUAGAGGAAGGUGAAGUCGUAACA
rnacentral:rRNA from 1 species